rnacentral:rRNA from 1 species
UACGUAGGGUGCAAGCGUUGUCCGGAAUUAUUGGGCGUGAAGGGCUCGUAGGCGGUCCAUCGCGUCGGGAGUGAAAAGCUGGGGCUCAACCCCAGUCCUGCUUCCGAUACGGGCAGACUAGAGGUAUGCAGGGGAGAACGGAAUUCCUGGUGUAGCGGUGGAAUGCGCAGAUAUCAGGAGGAACACCGGUGGCGAAGGCGGUUCUCUGGGCAUUACCUGACGCUGAGGAGCGAAAGCAUGGGGAGCGAACAGG